rfam:Triticum aestivum genome assembly, contig: Triticum_aestivum_CS42_TGACv1_scaffold_379578_5AL
UUUAUACUCCCUCCAUCCAAAAAAUACUUGUCAUCAAAAUGAAUAGAAAAACAUGUAUCUAGAACUAAAAUACAUCUAGAUACAUCUCUUUUUAUCCAUUUUGAUGACAAGUAUUUUCGAACGGAGGAAGUUGUAU